rnacentral:lncRNA from 1 species
CGGCCGCGAGUAGUUAGUUAGUUGUGUCAGUUGCUCGGUGGAGGCGUCCGCGGUCACCAGAAAGGGGACGGGACAGGCGGCAAUGGUGAAUAUCGUGACGGCGUGUGCUCCCCUCAGGUGUCUAUCCAACCCAAGUCUUAUGCUGUAGUUGUUUCUUGGUGAUUUGCCUAGAAAACCUAAGGUGCUCUCCUACCCACUUCCUACCUCACCACUCUGGCAUUCCCCUACACUGGGGCAUCGAGCCUUCACAGGACCAAGGGCCUCUCCUCCCAUUGAUGCCAGAUAAGGCCAUCCUCUGCUACAUAUGCUGGAGCCAUGGGUCCAAGCCAAAUGGUUCGAGCAUAGUGGUUCCCAACCUUAACAUUGGCACCUUCAGAAUAUAGAAUGAGAGGCAAGGAGGAAAGGACAUUCAUCAUAAGAAGAUUUGAAUCACCUUGAAAUUGUAAAGGAAUGUAGCACUUGCUGCCAAACUACCGUGGUCACCAGAAUGAACGAA